UAAUUAAUUAUUAAAACAAGUGGUAUAAAGAAUUAAAUAUAUAUAUCUGAGCAUAUAUAAAUAAAAUUCAUUUUGAUGGAUCACAUUGAGAAGUGAUCUCAGAGAAUUGUGAAGGAAAGGCACAACAAUAUGGCCGCCACUUGUUGGAUGAUGUUUAAAAAAAAAAAAGUGUUAAUUAGAAUAUAAAAUAAAAUAAAUAUAUGAAAGUUCAUAAUUGUUUAAUAUAAAUAUAUUAAGAAAAAACCAUAACGAAAUGUUGGCAGUUCUCUCCCCUCAUUGACUUGUUUCAGCCUUUUUUUUAUAAAUGUUAUAUAGACGUUUGUUUCAAAAAGAGCAAAAAAAGAAAAAAAAAAAAAGAAAAAGAAAAAUCUUGAUUGUGAGUUAAAAUAAUGUGCUUUUUUGCAUUUUGCUUAUUUCCUUCUUCUUUAUUAUCAUCAUCACAAAAUUAAUUACUGAGUAAAUAUUAAAUCAAAUAAGCUGCAAAAUCUAUGGAAGACCCAUCAAUCACUAAGAGAUUGAUAGAUUUUGGUGUUAAUAAACAUAAAUAUGAAGAAGUUCAAGGAUUAUCAGAAGAAUCAACCAAUAAUCGAUCAUCACUCCCAGUUGGCAUUACAUGUAACAGCGAUCAUAAAAGCAAAGACAGCAAUAUUGCAUCUAUCGAGUUGUCACCAUCAAAAGCGGCAACAAAAGCAACAACAAAGUUAGACAAUCAAUCGCCUGAAAUACCGUAUUCCGAGCAGAGAUCUUCGGCGAAAGCGAACACGAACACGAACGGUAACAAUAAUAGCGGAAUAAAUCUGAAAGGGGGUAAAAAGAAAUCGCCAAAAUCGUCGAAAAUACCGCGUUCACCUUCGCUAACUAGUUGUCUGAGCGGCGGUAACACGUAUAACAAUUUUCAACCCCCUCCCAUAUCUGGCAUCCCGCCACGAACACCACCGCUGCCAUUGUCUUAUCAAAAUCGAAUUAAAUCAAUGAAUGGUCACGGUAUAGCGGCGAUUAGCACCAACAACAAUAACAACGAUAAUGUCGUUGGCAAUAGCACCGGUAAUGUGACAAGCGGUGGUGGAGGGACUAUAAACAUAACUCCUGCGAAUGGUCAAGCGUAUAGGAAUAGUACAAAUAUGGUACCGAGUGCACGACGACCUCAAGUACAAAUUCCCUCGAUUGCGGGAGAGUCGGCGAAAAAUUUCCAAUAUUUAACGUUGACGGUGCGCAAGGAUGAGAAUGGCUACGGUAUGAAGGUUUCUGGGGAUAAUCCAGUUUUCGUUGAAAGUGUAAAGCCAGGUGGUGCCGCACAUAUUGCUGGCUUAGUUGCUGGAGAUAUGAUCUUAAAGGUUAACGGCACCGAAGUACGCUCGGAGAAACAUCCAACUGUGGUUAGUUACAUCAAAGCUUCAACCGUUGUGGAGUUGGCUGUUAAACGUAGUCAAAAAUUAGCUCGACCCACUUCGGUAGGCGUUGUGCCGUCAACACCUGUUCUGUCUGGUAGAGAUCGUACAGCUUCAAUUACUGGACCUCAACCCGUUGAUAGUAUAAAACGUCGGGAAAUGGAAACGUACAAGAUACAAACACUUCAAAAAAUGUUGGAACAGGAAAAAUUGAAUUUGGAACGUCUUAAAGGUGAUACGAAUAAUCCGAGUUAUAAACUUUCAGAAGCGAAUAUACGAAAAUUACGUGAACAGCUGCGACAAGUUGGUGCUGAGGAUGCACCGCAAUCUGUAAAAUAUCAGUCGACGAUUAACAAUCUAAAAGCACAACACCAUCACUUGUCUGUGUCCUCUAAUACUACCACUACCACUUCUCCUUUAGUCACAAAUACACAGUUCAAUCAUGCUCACCUUAAUCUUCAUCAUCAUCAAAACCACCACCACCAUCAUCAUCACGGUCAAGCUGUCACUCCACAACCACAACCACCACAGUCUUCUCCAGCUUUUCUAUCAUUGUUACCACGUUCGCUGUCUUCUUUAUCGUUGGGUGGUCGUAAAAGUAAAAUUGAUAAAGAUUUGAUAGCGCCGUUAAAUAAUACCACGGAUUUCCUGCAGACAUCGGUGGCGUCAGCGAUGCUUGCUACUGGCUCGCCAAUUGCAGUGACAUCGUCACAUGCGCCACCUUCUUAUAGUAUGUCACAAUCUUUACAUACGCCUUUGCAGACGCACCUGCAAAGGAAUUCAGCUCAACAAUUAUUCCAUUUGCAUCAACAGCAAUUGUUACAACAACAGCAGCAGCAGAAUCGUAGUACACCCAAAACAAGCGGAAAAACUAAAAGUAAAUUUACCUCCAAAGCAAAAAGUUUAAUUGAGGAGGACAUUCCACCGCCAUUGCCACAAAGAAAUGCAUCGCGACCUUUACAAUUGGAUGUGGUUAACAAUACUGUUCCAUCUAUUCCAUCCGCAACGGUUUCACCUAUUUCGGAUUUAGAUCACAUGACCGGUACUUGUUCGCCUCUGCGCAAUUCCCCUCAGCCUGUAUCGAAAUCAAAUUCGCCGCAAAAUGUUAGUGGCAGUAGCUCUAAUAAGGGCAAACGUUCAAAAGUGAAAACAAAAGCUUUAUCUGAUCCCAAAAUGUCCACACAGAUAUUUUUGCAAAUGGAAGGUGGCGCUGCCAGCGGUUUAUGCAACAAUGACCAAAUGGGCGGCCCGCUAGAGGAUGAUUGCACACCACCGCCGUUGCCACCACGUCAACCGGGCAUGCUGGAUGAAAUACAGAAGGGAAGCUUUCAAAAUCUGAAUUCUUCUUCUGUGGGUCGUCCAUCACCGAACAGUGUUGAUACUUUAAUGCAAUACCCGUUAGUAGCUACUUGCACUCCCGUGCAACGUGAUAGUAUGGCUGCGGCUUUUCCUUUAUCGCAGCGUCCAAAUAUUGUACAGCAAUUACAGCAACAUCAACAGCAGCAGCAGCAGCAACAGCAACAAUUGCAGAACAGUGGUGCUGGUGGCUGCCGCGAUCCUGCCGUACUGAGUCAGACGUCGCAUAAUUUGAACCAUAUGAAUAAACAUAGGCGGGUAGUAUCCUCGCCAGACAACAUUCACACGAGACAUUCCGAACGUCAAAUAAAAACCAACUCGGGCUCAUGGGAAUUGAUUGAAAAAGACGACGAAUCAACGCCACCAGGUACACCGCCACCGCCAUAUCGUCACGCACAUUCGGCCAGCAUGUCGGGCAACGAGGAGAGCAUUCAUGAACAUGUUGGCGCUGGAAUUUUUGUAGAAUCUCAUAAUUUUGCAUUGACGACUGGGGCUACGCCUCCUCCACCUCCCCCACAUUCCAAUCGUAUACAGAGCGCACAAUCGAGAAGUACACAAAAAGAGAUUAUUUCUAUGGAGGAUGAGGAUACCUCGGAUCACGAAGGGCCAUUCAUUGAUGAAAAUGGUCCUUUUAAUUCGUUGCAAAGACUUUUGGAAGCCGAUAAUGUGGCCUUUUUAGCGGUAUUUUUAAAUUAUGUUUUAUCAAAUUCGGAACCAGCUCCACUAUUAUUCUAUCUUAUCACGGGCCUGUACAAAGAAGGCACAGCCAAAGAUAUGCGUAAAUGGGUUUAUGAAAUUCAUUCGACAUUUUUGGUACCACGCGCUCCGCUUGCUUGGUAUCGUCAAGAUGAAUCGUUGGCCCGCGAAGUGGACGCAGUUUUGCAAAACGAGGCUGAUAAAGUAGAAAUUUUGCGUAAAGUAUUUUGGAAAAGUCGCAAAAGAGCACGUGAUAUUAUAUGCGAGCAGCUAAGAGAAUUUCAACAAAAACGUACAGCCGGUUUGGGGACCAUUUAUGGGCCAACCGACGCCCAAUUGUUGGAGGCGAAGGGCGAUAAGCAGAAGGAGCAGCACAUCUUUGAAGAUACCCUAAUGAAGAAAUUGCAAAUUCUAGUGGAAGAAUAUGAAAAGGAUAUAACAUUAGAGGAGCCGAAAAAAUUAGCUCUGUGCUCGGCUUUAUCAACAGUAAUACAUCGCAUUUUUAUAACACGUUCGCAUCCAAAUAGCAUUAUUGAUCGUGUCCAUCAUUUUGUAAGUCGCGAAAAAAGUUUCAAGUCACGUCUCAUGGGCAAAAAAGGAAAAAUGAUUGUGCGUGGUCAUCCUUUGGUAUUGCGUCAAUACUAUGAAGUGACUAACUGCAAUCAUUGCCAGACUAUUAUAUGGGGUGUUAGUCCACAAGGUUUCCAUUGUACAGACUGUAAAUUAAAUAUUCACCGUCCUUGUUCGAAAGUUUUAGACGAAAGUUGUCCUGGCCCAGUACCACCAGUUAAACGUAAAGAAAAAGACUUACAUAAUGAUAAUAAGAUUAGCAAACUAAUGGGCAAAAUACGUCCGCGAACCUCAACCGAUUUAAGUGGAGAUAAACGUCGUCCCGAUCCUGAUGAUCUUGAUCCUGCAGAUUCUCCUAAUGAACGGUUACACUCUACUUCCAUACAACGGCAGCCUUCAGACCGAAGACCAGACGGAGUUAAUCUCUCGAUACGAUCGAAUAGCAAUACGUCUGGUCACCUUAAUGCAAGUGAUUUGCAAAGCUCGUUUCAUGGGGCCGAUGCAAGUAUGGGUGCAACAGCGGUUGCUGGUAUUGGAGGCGGUGUUUCCAAUGCACUCUCUUGUAGCAUUGGUCCUGACGGUAUGGCCAUCCCUUCAAUUACCUCGAAUUUAUCGAUGGGGUCAACAAGUGGUACUACGAGUGGCGGCAUUUCUCCUGCCGGUGUAAUCGGAGCACUAAAUGAUUUAAAUGCGCAGGACGCAGUUGAAUCUAAUAAUGCCCGACGUGAACGUUUACACCAACAACAUCAACAAAACAAAAGUGCUCCAGUUUCAGUUAAUCGUUCGGAAUCAUAUAAAGAACGCUUAUCCCAUAAACGCAAUCGAAGUCAACGCAAAACGUCCGAUCCAAGCUUAACAUCGCGGCAAAAUGAUGAUCAAGCUGAUUUGGGUCUGUCAAAUUCCAAUUUCACGGCAAGUUCUAAUUCUAGUCUUUCGUCGGGUGAGGGCUCAGAAAGCCCGUCCAAUUCGAUGGAACAGAUGGGUGGGGCCGGAGCAACGGCAAUAGCCGCUAAUAUUUCCGCUCACCAUCAUCAAUCUCAACCAAGUUGUCAAGAAUCGUUUCACGGCAGCACGAGCGGUGGUUUAGUGAAUUUAAGCUUUUGGGGUAAUACAAGUGCCUUGGCCGGCCUACCUCAACGCCAAUGGCAUUUCGAUAGCGAUGAAGAUGAUGACCUUAACGAAGCCGAUUGGAGUUCGAAUGUAGCCGCAGAAACAUUAGGCACUUUAACAGAUGGCGAAAAGAAACGUCAAGAAAUCAUAAAUGAAAUUUACCAAACGGAACGCAGUCAUGUGCGCACACUUAAAUUAUUGGAACGUUUAUUUUUCCAUCCGCUGCUUGAGAGCGGACUACUCUCUCAAGAACAUUUACUAUUGCUAUUUCCGUCUUCGUUGGUGUCGCUACGCGACUUGCAUGGAACAUUUGAGCAAAAACUUAAGCAACGUCGCCUCGAUCAUAAUUAUGUGGUGAAAAAUGCUGGCGAUUUAUUGGCCGGUAUGUUUGACGGGAAAUCGGGCGAAGAGUUGCGGGAGUAUGCAGCUCAGUUUUGUGCACGUCAACAAAUCGCCUUGGAAGCACUUAAAGAGAAGCGCCGUAAAGAUGAACAAUUACAGAAAUUAUUAUCAAAAGCGGAAGCUCAUAAAGCCUGUCGACGUUUGCAAUUGAAAGACUUGCUGCCGACUGUUUUACAGCGUCUUACCAAAUAUCCAUUGUUAUUUGAAAAUCUGUAUAAGGUUACGCUACGAGUAGUACCCGAAGAUACCUCAGAGGCUGAAGCCAUACAGAAAGCUUUAGAGUCGUCGAGAAAAAUUUUAGUUGAUGUCAAUCAGGCGGUUAAGACAGCUGAAGAUGCUCACAAAUUGCAAAAUAUUCAGCGUAAAUUAGAUAAAUCAACAUUUGAUAAGGAUGAGUUCAAGAAUUUGGAUUUAACACAAUACCGUUUAAUACACGAUGGCAGUUUAACAAUGAAGAAGAAUCCCAGCAUACAAUUACACGGUUUAUUAUUUGAAAAUAUGAUUGUAUUACUUACCAAACAGGACGAUAAAUAUUCAUUGAAAUAUUUGAAUGCAACGCGUAACAUGGAAGUUAAUAAUAAGCCAGUCAGUCCCAUUAUGAGUAUCGAUUCGGAGACUUUGGUUAGACAGGAAGCCGCCGAUAAAAAUUCAUUCUUUUUAAUUAAAACGAAAACUUCACAAAUGCUUGAAUUGAGAGCGCCUAGCAGUUCGGAGUGCAAAACAUGGUUUAAGCACAUUUCUGAUGCUGCGGAGCAAUACAAACCUCGUACAAAAAAUGCUAACCAUGAACCGAUCGAUGAUCCGGCCAUUGCUACUUUACCGCAUUCUAAUACUCGGGAGUCUUUGGAGAUCACACCAGAACGCCCUCCUCCCCAAUCGGCUACCGCGACUGUAAUAACCACUCCAUUAGCGCCUAUGAUCCCAAUGUCGCCGAAUGCAGGGGGCUACGAUAAAACACAUACCGCGCAAGCUGUAGAGUCAAAUUGCAGCGGCAACAACAACAACGGUGUUGAAGUACAAUUACGUAAUGGACGGCGAGAGAACGGUCAAACACUACCGGCAGUAGAGUCAUGUCCGCCGUAUUACAAUAUAAAGCAAAGAUUAAGUCAAAAUGAAUUGGCUCAAAAUGCGGGCGCAGUCAAUCGUACGAUGUCAACUAGGAGUUGCGGAGAAGCCAAUAACAAUUAUAAUAGCAUGAACGAAUUUGCUGCCGCCAAUGGUGUCACUUUACGUCACACCCAAUCGGCUAGGCAAGCAAACAAUGCAACGCUUGCGCCCGAUGAUGCGACCAAUGCAGCGAAUCUGAAUGAUGGUAACAAAAGAGACAGUACUAGUAUAGUGUAUUCGAAUAAUUCCAACAACACCCGCACGCUUAUGCAAUCAUCACCACCUUUAGUGGAGCCUACAGCUAUCCAAAUUAGCAUAAGUCCCGCGCAUACCGCCGAACCUGUUUUAACAUUGGUGGAGAAACUGAGACGUCUAGACGCGAGUAUACGAGAAGGCCUAAUGGAGAAGCAAAAAAUAAUUUGUGAUAUGUUCCGAUUACCGAUCGAGCACUUCCAUGAGAUUGUGGACAUAGCCGCUAUGCCUGAAGCACCCAAAGACAGUGCAGAUAUAGCUUUGGCCGCUUAUGCUCAAGUUCAAAGCUUGACCGAAGUGAUUAAUGAAUACAUGCAGAUAACGCCUGAACAAGAAAUUUCCGCAGUAUCAACCACUGUUUGUGACAAAUGCCACGAAAAACAACAGCAUCUUUCCCGAGAGAAAAACAAUUUUGUAAAAUCAGAUUCCCCGCCUCCAUUGCCUCCUCCAAAGAAACAAACAGCUCAAGCUCAGCAGCAAGUACCAACUCCAACCGUCCCUAAAUUACAAAUGCUUGGUUUGGGUGACAGCGACAUACACGAAGAUGAUGAUGGCUACUGCGAGAUCGACGAGCUACGUUUACCGGCUUUACCGCACCUUAUGAAGACCAUUUCCCCACCCCUGUCGACAGCAAAAAUGACAGUAACACCAUCUUUUCCACCUUCAUUGUCUAAGAGCACAAAUCAACUUCAAAGCCCUGCAGUGGUUGCUGAGUCCCAGGCUUCUAAUACGACCGUAGUAAUGCAAAAUAACAGUACCCCAGAAUUAAUGAAACGUCAGAGCACUUUAAGUUCCGACAGCAUUCCUGAGGAAUCUCCCGAUGAAGUCACAAAUGCACUUAAUGAUCAGCACGCAGACGAGAUGCACAAAUUAAAUGAAUCCAAAGACGUCACGUUGACCGAAAACGUAGAGCAGCAAGACCAGGACACAACAAACGCUACUGCGAACAAUCACAGUACCGUGAAUAGCAAGCAAUUUGAAACGAAGAAUACCGAGGAGCACGAAACUUUAAAACGAGAAGAUUUCGAAUCGUCGGAAACUGCAACGAACGAUAUUGGUGAAAAGUCUGAAGCGGAAGCCGAGGAUAAAGAGGUUGCAGCAAAUGAAGAGGACGAAAAAAAAGAAAGCGAAGACGAUUCGGAAGAUAAAGAUGACGAUUCCACUAUGCAUACGGCAGAAUGCGAAAGCGAAUCUUUGGAAAUAAAAGAAUCUGCUACUGGCAAUGAGAGUACAGAACAUUUGAAACACUCGAUAACUACCGCAACGUCUGUGGCGACUGAACCUAAAAAGCAAGCUAGUAAUUCUACUCAAGCCGACGACUCUUCACUAGGCAGUGAGAACGCCGAAAUGAACGAAGUUUACGAGACUUUCUCUUCUUUAAAGAAACAUGAAAACGCUGUUCUCUUAAUGGUCGAUAAUUCAACUCAGACUCUUUCGCCUUCAUCGCAACACUUGUCCACCACCAUUAGUCCCACAACUACUGCUGCCACAAAUACCCAGGGAAAGAGCACCUCAACCGUUGCCACAAACACCAAUAUCAUAACGAAUACAAUUGCAGCCUCACUUUGUGGACCAAAUCGCUUACAACAUGCUCAUACGUUAGAGCCCAGCGUGCCCUGUCAUGCUCUCAACAAUAUUGUUAGUGCGCUAAAUGCUCAAAUUUCGUUGUUGUUGCCCAAAAUAAAUGAAAGAGAUAUGGAACGUGAUCGUUUGCGUAAAGAAAAUCUGCACUUACGUGAACUAUUAAAUGCGAUGCAUGAACGUCAGCGAGUUGAACCAAAAUUGGAAACUCCUAGUGAAAGCAUGACCAGCAAUGCUUGUAAAACCGAUGACCAAAUUGAUGGCUCUUCAUCCGCACCGUCUGUUACGUGCAAAGCCAUGCCCACAAUUGCACUUACCGUUCCAACAGAUACACAACAAUUAGUUGCAGCCCCUGCAACUGAGGGAAGCGAGGGAGGUGCAGAAGUCAGCAAAACGGAAGUAGAAACCGUCAAGUUAACAGCAACGUCAACUACUACGAAGCCGCAAGAGGCGAAAAAUUGAAUUGCUAAAAUCUGAAUAACAUCCUUCCACACGCAUACACAUAUACACAAGCAGACAAAUGUUAUAAAUGCGGCAGAAAAGAAAAAAGAAAAAGGUUUUAAUUUGUAUUAAAAGUAGAAUUGAUGAUGACGCGCAGAUAUCUUGAUAGACGUAUUAAGUUAAAAGUCAAUUUAAUUGACUCUUCAUCUUUCAGAUAGAAAGUCAGGCUUUAAAGGGUAUUUAGAGAUUCAGAAUUCUAAGUGUAAAAAAUAUUGAUGCUUAAAAACACAUACUACUGUAAAUGCAGAAUAUAAAGAAAAACUAUGCACAAAAACAAAAAACAUAUCGCAAAAGAUUUUUGUCAGCUUUUCUUUGGAUGAUAGGUGGGUUGUACAGGUAGGGCCUAAGAACUCGAACAAACACAAGUAUAUAAAAUUAUUUACUUACCUACUAAUUCGUAUGAUUAUUUUUAAUCACUUUUUCUGGAUUUCAUUAUAUCCCUCAGCAAAGAAUGUAUUAAUCUUGCCAUUUAUGCAACAAAGACACGCUUGAGGUAGUCUAAACACAGACAGAAUGGGAAAGGAAAUGUGCACAUGUAAGUUUUCAAAAAAGGAGCAAAUCGUUUGCAAGUCGUGUUAGGUCAACAAAAAGGAUUACUACACUCAUUGAAGGAACACCUUUGGACAGCGUAACAAAUACAAACCUACUGCGUCCUUUGCAUAUUUGCGUACUUGAAUUCGCAAGCAAUAUAUUUCUUCGCAAGAUUGGAAAUGAAAUAUUUUCGAAGAACGGCUUCAUUCCAUUAUUACAUUUGACAGUGAUUUCUGUUAUAUGAUUUGUAAUGUCGCAGUAACCAGCAGUAACAGAGUUAACCAGAUGCAAAAUUGUUGCCAGUCUUUUUUCAUAUCCGUUUUCAGAAGAAAUGCUAUAUUCGCACAGUACGAAAAACUAAAGAGAUAUGGUCAUCGAAAUUGCCAGUUAAAGGAAACGUCGAUAAGUACAUCAAAUCGAAAAUUUUUCUUCCUUUACGACUUCUUUUGAACUGAGCUUAUUAGGCUUCUCAACCAAAACGUGGACUUCGCCUUAGCUUUGACUUUUUUUCACUUCUUAGACUUCUCAUAUCCUCCAUCAUUUCAAGCUAUGCCAUUUAUUGUUUAUGA